UACGUAGGGGGCAAGCGUUGUCCGGAAUCAUUGGGCGUAAAGCGCGUGUAGGCGGCCCGAUAAGUCCGCUGUGAAAGUCCAGGGCUCAACCCUGGGAUGCCGGUGGAUACUGUCGGGCUCGAGUCCGGAAGAGGCGAGUGGAAUUCCCGGUGUAGCGGUGAAAUGCGCAGAUAUCGGGAGGAACACCUAUGGCGAAGGCAGCUCGCUGGGACGUUACUGACGCUGAGACGCGAAAGCGUGGGGAGCAAACAGG
rnacentral:rRNA from 1 species